rnacentral:other from 1 species
UUUUCCCUGCCAUGUGCGACACGGUUUAAAAGCACUUGACCUUUCGUAUGAACUGGGAGUCCAAUAUUUGACAGCCUGUGGUAUACCACCAUUGCGCGGGAACUGAACGGCUGACGUGAGGACACCCCCCUGUUGAGGGAAAGGUUCACUACGCUUUUCGCAAACCGACCGGCAUGUGCGGGGUUUUU